rnacentral:rRNA from 1 species
UACGGAGGGGGCUAGCGUUGUUCGGAAUUACUGGGCGUAAAGCGCACGUAGGCGGCUUUGUAAGUUAGAGGUGAAAGCCCAGGGCUUAACCCUGGAAUUGCCUUUAAGACUGCAUCGCUAGAAUCGUGGAGAGGUGAGUGGAAUUCCGAGUGUAGAGGUGAAAUUCGUAGAUAUUCGGAAGAACACCAAUGGCGAAGGCGACUCACUGGACACGUAUUGACGCUGAGGUGCGAAAGCGUGGGGAGCAAACAGG